rnacentral:misc_RNA from 1 species
AGAAAAAAAAAAAAAAAAAACAACAGCAACAAGAACAUUUUCUAUAGUAUUGUUUUCUAGUGCCUUUUCUUAUUCUAGUUUUUCAAUGUGCAUUUAGACUGUUUUCAACGGUGAAAGUGUAUUCAGUACAUUUUAUAUGCAUUUUAGAGAAUUAUAAAGCUUGCCUGCAAACAAAUAAAAUUCUCCAUUUGUCCUCAAACAAAUAAAAUCUUUCAACUGUCACUGGCGUACCUGUGUACUAUCUUGCUAGCACUUUUAUGUUAUAUGAUUUGCACAUUUUGAUUUGAAAGACAUGAUAUUUUCAGCUUGUGUUAACAUGCAAAACAUAAGGAACUCCAUCUUGAGCCAUGUGAGGCUGAGAGGUUUUGCUCAACAGCUGUUGCUUACUCAGAGAAGAAAUGUCUUCAAGCAACUGCAUCAGCAAACGCAUGCAUUAAGCAGUACCAGUCCUCAUCAAAUUAUGGAUCGGGUAAUAGGAUUGGUUAAGAAAUAUGAUAAAAUUGAUGCUGCCAAGGUAAUUAAUGCAUAUUUCUCUUCUAUUUUUAAUUUCUCUGUGUGUGUAUGUCCAUUUUGUGAUGGUUUGAAUUGGCAGACCACCUUUAUUUAGUGUGAAAUUAAAUAUGUCAUAUAGCAAUGCUGAUUAUUUUGCUGUUACAAUUCAUCAAACAAGUUUCAGCUAACGAAUCAAGCUUUCCUUAAUUUCCUAUGGAUUGAAGAUUAUUGAAAGAAUUAAUAUUGGUUUUACUUGACCACUAAACAGGUUACUGAAACAGCUGAUUUCCAGAAAGAUUUGUCCCUGGACAGCUUAGAUAGGGUGGAGCUUGUUAUGGCUUUUGAGGAAGAAUUUUCCAUUGAAAUCCCUGAUGAGGAAGCAGAUAAGCUUACUUGCUGUGCUGAUGUUGCAAAAUAUAUAGCUUAUGGAGCUGAAAAGAAGAUUUCUGGCUCCUGAAUUGAUUUUAGAAUACACAAAGGGCACUCUUUAUGAUACAUUAUGUAGCUUGUUGAUUUAUUCUUAGAUGUCGGCUAGUUUUGGUAUUAACUUCAUCACUCCUCGUUCUGACCAUAUAUAAUGGUUGUCAGAUCCAUGAUCACUCCUAUUGUUUUUCUUAGUGAUACUGUGCUAGUGUCAUUGGUCAUAAAGCAAGACUGGAAAUUUUCUUUUAUACAUCAAUGUCCGUGUUGUUGUCAUUAUUUACAAGUAGGCUUUAUGCAUC